CUUCGGAAUGAGAGACCGGCGCACGGGUGCGUAACGCGUAUGCAAUCUACCUUUUACAGAGGGAUAGCCCAGAGAAAUUUGGAUUAAUACCUCAUAGUAUUAUGACUCGGCAUCGAGAUAUAAUUAAAGUCACAACGGUAAAAGAUGAGCAUGCGUCCCAUUAGCUAGUUGGUAAGGUAACGGCUUACCAAGGCUACGAUGGGUAGGGGUCCUGAGAGGGAGAUCCCCCACACUGGUACUGAGACACGGACCAGACUCCUACGGGAGGCAGCAGUGAGGAAUAUUGGACAAUGGGCGCAAGCCUGAUCCAGCCAUGCCGCGUGCAGGAUGACGGUCCUAUGGAUUGUAAACUGCUUUUGCACAAGAAGAAACAACCUUACGUGUAAUGUCUUGACGGUACUGUGAGAAUAAGGAUCGGCUAACUCCGUGCCAGCAGCCGCGGUAAUACGGAGGAUCCAAGCGUUAUCCGGAAUCAUUGGGUUUAAAGGGUCCGUAGGCGGUUUAGUAAGUCAGUGGUGAAAGCCCAUCGCUCAACGGUGGAACGGCCAUUGAUACUGCUAGACUUGAAUUAUUAGGAAGUAACUAGAAUAUGUAGUGUAGCGGUGAAAUGCUUAGAGAUUACAUGGAAUACCAAUUGCGAAGGCAGGUUACUACUAAUGUAUUGACGCUGAUGGACGAAAGCGUGGGUAGCGAACAGGAUUAGAUACCCUGGUAGUCCACGCCGUAAACGAUGGAUACUAGCUGU
rnacentral:rRNA from 1 species